rnacentral:lncRNA from 1 species
UGGGGAAGUGGGGAACCGAGGGGCAACCAGGGGAAGAUGGGGUGCUGGAGGAGAGCUUGUGGGAGCCAAGGAGCACCUUGGACAUCUGGAGUCUGGCAGGAAGUUAGCAAAGGUGACAUCUUCUCGGGGGGAGCCGAGACUGCGCAAGGCUGGGGGGUUAUGGGCCCGUUCCAGGCAGAAAGAGCAAGAGGGCAGGGAGGGAGCACAGGGGUGGCCAGCGUAGGGUCCAGCACGUGGGGUGGUACCCCAGGCCUGGGUCAGACAGGGACAUGGCAGGGGACACAGGACAGAGGGGUCCCCAGCUGCCACCUCACCCACCGCAAUUCAUUUAGUAGCAGGCACAGGGGCAGCUCCGGCACGGCUUUCUCAGGCCUAUGCCGGAGCCUCGAGGGCUGGAGAGCGGGAAGACAGGCAGUGCUCGGGGAGUUGCAGCAGGACGUCACCAGGAGGGCGAAGCGGCCACGGGAGGGGGGCCCCGGGACAUUGCGCAGCAAGGAGGCUGCAGGGGCUCGGCCUGCGGGCGCCGGUCCCACGAGGCACUGCGGCCCAGGGUCUGGUGCGGAGAGGGCCCACAGUGGACUUGGUGACGCUGUAUGCCCUCACCGCUCAGCCCCUGGGGCUGGCUUGGCAGACAGUACAGCAUCCAGGGGAGUCAAGGGCAUGGGGCGAGACCAGACUAGGCGAGGCGGGCGGGGCGGAGUGAAUGAGCUCUCAGGAGGGAGGAUGGUGCAGGCAGGGGUGAGGAGCGCAGCGGGCGGCGAGCGGGAGGCACUGGCCUCCAGAGCCCGUGGCCAAGGCGGGCCUCGCGGGCGGCGACGGAGCCGGGAUCGGUGCCUCAGCGUUCGGGCUGGAGACGAGGCCAGGUCUCCAGCUGGGGUGGACGUGCCCACCAGCUGCCGAAGGCCAAGACGCCAGGUCCGGUGGACGUGACAAGCAGGACAUGACAUGGUCCGGUGUGACGGCGAGGACAGAGGAGGCGCGUCCGGCCUUCCUGAACACCUUAGGCUGGUGGGGCUGCGGCAAGAAGCGGGUCUGUUUCUUUACUUCCUCCACGGAGUCGGCACACUAUGGCUGCCCUCUGGGCUCCCAGAACCCACAACAUGAAAGAAAUGGUGCUACCCAGCUCAAGCCUGGGCCUUUGAAUCCGGACACAAAACCCUCUAGCUUGGAAAUGAAUAUGCUGCACUUUACAACCACUGCACUACCUGACUCAGGAAUCGGCUCUGGAAGGUGAAGCUAGAGGAACCAGACCUCAUCAGCCCAACAUCAAAGACACCAUCGGAACAGCAGCGCCCGCAGCACCCACCCCGCACCGGCGACUCCAUCUUCAUGGCCACCCCCUGCGGCGGACGGUUGACCACCAGCCACCACAUCAUCCCAGAGCUGAGCUCCUCCAGCGGGAUGACGCCGUCCCCACCACCUCCCUCUUCUUCUUUUUCAUCCUUCUGUCUCUUUGUUUCUGAGCUUUCCUGUCUUUCCUUUUUUCUGAGAGAUUCAAAGCCUCCACGACUCUGUUUCCCCCGUCCCUUCUGAAUUUAAUUUGCACUAAGUCAUUUGCACUGGUUGGAGUUGUGGAGACGGCCUUGAGUCUCAGUACGAGUGUGCGUGAGUGUGAGCCACCUUGGCAAGUGCCUGUGCAGGGCCCGGCCGCCCUCCAUCUGGGCCGGGUGACUGGGCGCCGGCUGUGUGCCCGAGGCCUCACCCUGCCCUCGCCUAGUCUGGAAGCUCCGACCGACAUCACGGAGCAGCCUUCAAGCAUUCCAUUACGCCCCAUCUCGCUCUGUGCCC